rnacentral:rRNA from 1 species
AGUGAACGCUGGCGGCAGGCCUAACACAUGCAAGUCGAACGGCAGCAUGGAGAGCUUGCUCUCUGAUGGCGAGUGGCGAACGGGUGAGUAAUGCAUCGGAACGUACCGUGUAAUGGGGGAUAACGUAGCGAAAGUUACGCUAAUACCGCAUACGACCUGAGGGUGAAAGCAGGGGAUCGCAAGACCUUGCGUUAUACGAGCGGCCGAUGUCAGAUUAGCUAGUUGGUGAGGUAAAGGCUCACCAAGGCGACGAUCUGUAGCGGGUCUGAGAGGAUGAUCCGCCACACUGGGACUGAGACACGGCCCAGACUCCUACGGGAGGCAGCAGUGGGGAAUUUUGGACAAUGGGGGCAACCCUGAUCCAGCCAUGCCGCGUGAGUGAAGAAGGCCUUCGGGUUGUAAAGCUCUUUCGGCCGGGAAGAAAUCGCACAGGCUAAUACUCUGUGUGGAUGACGGUACCGGCAUAAGAAGCACCGGCUAACUACGUGCCAGCAGCCGCCGUAAGAC